rnacentral:rRNA from 1 species
AGAGUUUGAUCCUGGCUCAGGAUGAACGCUGGCGGCGUGCCUAACACAUGCAAGUCGAACGGGGUUAAGGGAAAUUUCGGAUGGAACUUAACUUAGUGGCGGACGGGUGAGUAACGCGUGGAUAACCUGCCUCACACUGGGGGAUAGCAGCUGGAAACGGCUGGUAAUACCGCAUAAGACCCCGGCACCGCAUGGUGCUGAGGUAAAAGAUUUAUCGGUGUGAGAUGGAUCCGCGUCUGAUUAGCCAGUUGGCGGGGUAACGGCCCACCAAAGCGACGAUCAGUAGCCGGCCUGAGAGGGUGAACGGCCACAUUGGGACUGAGACACGGCCCAAACUCCUACGGGAGGCAGCAGUGGGGAAUAUUGCACAAUGGGCGCAAGCCUGAUGCAGCAAACCGCCGCGUGAGUGAAGAAGUAUUUCGGUAUGUAAAGCUCUAUCAGCAGGGAAGAAAGGCCCGAAAGGGAGAUGACGGUACCUGACUAAGAAGCCCCGGCUAACUACGUGCCAGCCGCAGC